rnacentral:rRNA from 1 species
GACGGGGAAAGCGUCGAAUCGAGCGCGCCAGCGCGAGCUUCGAACAGGGACGGGUUUAACAUUCCUGAAUCGGGACGUGGCGGCUGACGCGCAACGUAGGGAGUCCGGAGAAAGAGAGAGGAGCACAGAUUUAUUUCUGUUUAACAGCGCUGCCACCCUGGAAAAACGGCUCAGCCCGGGGAGUGUAGGGUCCCAGCGGCCGGAAGAGCACCGCAACUUCGCGUGGUAGUCCGGCGCCCGGCGGCCCUUGAAAAUCCGAGAGGACCGAGAGUUGCGACCUACGCCCGGUCGUACUCAUAACCGCAUCAGGUAAUCUCCAAAGGGAACAGCCUCUGGCGAAUGGAACAAUGUAAGGCAAGGGAUCGCAAAAUGGAUCCGUAAUUGGGAAAAGGAUACCCUACACAGACCACAAUGAGGGCUGCAACGGGGGUCCCAAGUCUCCGAACACCCCAGAUCGACAUGUCGGAUGGAACUGCUCGAGCCUCGCAUUCCGCGCGAGAGCCGGGCUCGCCGCGGGCCGGCAACCGGGGACGGACUGGGAACGGCCCUCGGGAGAGCCUUCCCGGGCGUCCGAACAGCCGACUCAGAACUGUACGUGACAAGGGGAAUCCGACUGUUUAAAUUAAAACAAAGCAUAAUGCGAUGGUCCCUCGAGGAUGAUAACGCAAUGUGAUUUCCCAGUGCUAACAUAGAAUGUCAAAGUGAAGAAAUCAACCAAGCGCGGUAAACGGCGGGAUAACUAUGACUCUCUUAAGGUACCAAAGCCUCGUCAUCCUAAUAGUGACAGCGCAUGAACAUGGAUUAACGAGAAUUCCCAACUGCCUGAUCUACUAUCCAGCGAAACCACAGCCAGGAAAGGAGCUGCAGACACACAACGACGAGGAGAGAGGCACUGUUGAGCUUGAGAUCUAGUUCCGACUUUGUGAAAUGACUUGAGAGGUGUAGGAUAGAGUGGGAGCCCUCGGGCAAAAUGAAUAACCACUACUUACGUAUUUUAUUACUCCGGAGCUCGGAGGCGGGGCCAUGCCCCUGUCUUGGACCCAAGGCCCGCACCUUCCAGCGGGCCGAUCCGAGCGGAGGACAUUGUCAAGGUGGAGGAGUUUGGCUGGGCGGCACCCCAUCUGUUAAAAGAUAACGCAAAGGUGAUCUAAGAAUAGCUCGAACGAGAAACAGAAAUUCGGUGUGGAACAGAAAGGGUAAUAGCGUCGUUUUGAUUCUGAAUUUCCAGUAGAAAAUACGAACCGUGAAAGCGUGCCAACGACCUUAUAGACCUUCGGAUUAUGAAGCUAGAGGUGUAGAAAAGUUACAAAACAGGCAUAACGGGCCUUUGCACCAAGCGUUUUCAUAGCGAAACGUUGCUUUUUUGAUCCUUCGAUGUCGGAUCUUCUAUCAUUGUGAAGCAGAAUUCACCAAGUGUUGGAUCGUCACACCCAAUCAGGGAAGCCGGAGCUGGGAUAGACCGUCGUGAGACAGGUAGUUUACCCUACUGAUGACAGUGUCGCGAUGGUAAUUUCAACCUGUACGAGAAGGAAACGUGGAUUCGCACAAUUGGUCUUCGCGCUUAGGUUGAAAAGCCAGUGGCCGCGAAGCCUACGUUCGCCUGGAUUAUGACUGAACCUCUAAGUCAGAAUCCGGGCCAAAGCGACGCGGUGCGCUCAGCAGCUCGUUUGCCGACCCGCGUAGGGCCCAGGCCCAAAGGGCACGUGUGAUGGCCGACCCAACCGCGGCGGAGACACCCGCCUGGGCCGCCGAGGAUAUAAUUUCCACCGACGACGGACGGGGCUCACACGAAAUCCUCUGCAAGACGACUUAAUACGCGAGGGGUAUUGU